GAUGUAGCAAUACAUGGCGAACUGCUCAGUAACACGUGGACAACCUACCCUCAGAUCUGGGAUAAACCUGGGAAACUGGGUAUAAUACCGGAUAAUCCUUGGAUGCUGGAAUGCACCGAGGAUCAAAGUUCCGACGUCUGAGGAUGGGUCUGCGGCCUAUCAGGGUAGUAGUGGGUGUAAAGUACCUACUAGCCUACGACGGGUACGGGUUGUGAGAGCAAGAGCCCGGAGAUGGAUUCUGAGACACGAAUCCAGGCCCUAUGGGGCGCAGCAGGCGAGAAAACUUUGCAAUGUGCGAAAGCACGACAAGGUUAAUCCGAGUGGUUUCUGCUAAAGAAACCUUUUGCUAGUCCUAGAAACACUAGUGAAUAAGGGGUGGGCAAGUUCUGGUGUCAGCCGCCGCGGUAAAACCAGCACCUCAAGUGGUCAGGAUGAUUAUUGGGCCUAAAGCAUCCGUAGCUCGUUUUGUAAGUUUUCGGUUAAAUCCAUACGCUUAACGUAUGGGCUGCCGGGAAUACUGCAUAACUAGGAAGUGGGAGAGGUAGACGGUACUCGGUAGGAAGGGGUAAAAUCCUUUGAUCUAUUGAUGACCACCUGUGG
rnacentral:rRNA from 1 species